UGAAAAACACAUGAUUUUAUGAGGAAAUAAACUGAUAAAUCUCAAGAAAAUUUCUCCCAGAUAGUCAAGUUCUGAUCCAG
rnacentral:snoRNA from 1 species